CAGCAGCCGCGGUAAUACAGAGGAUGCAAGCGUUAUCCGGAAUGAUUGGGCGUAAAGCGCACGCAGGCGGUUUGUUAAGUCAGAUGUGAAAUCCCCGGGCUCAACCUGGGAACUGCAUCUGAUACUGGCAAGCUUGAGUCUCGUAGAGGGGGGUAGAAUUCCAGGUGUAGCGGUGAAAUGCGUAGAGAUCUGGAGGAAUACCGGUGGCGAAGGCGGCCCCCUGGACGAAGACUGACGCUCAGGUGCGAAAGCGUGGGGAGCAAACAGGAUUAGAUACCCCGGUAGUCCCUGUCUCUUAUAC
rnacentral:rRNA from 1 species